rnacentral:rRNA from 1 species
UAGACAAUUCGAACGCACAUUGCGGCCCUAG